rnacentral:lncRNA from 1 species
CUUGAAGACAGCUCAUUGUAACUACUGGGGUUGAAUUUUUAAAACCUCGGGAACAAAGGCUGGCUAUUUUAAACUCUCCUUGCACUUAGUUCAAUGGAGAGUGUUAGAGGCACUGACCACACCCGGGCAUCACUCCCGAGCUCGGCAAUUCAGAAUUUGUGUAGCAUCUCAGGACACGAGCACGGCCUGCCAAGGCAGAUAACCACGGCCAGCUCUGCCUACCCUAGAGGCAGCGGGCCUCUUCUGGGCCAAAGCUCUCACCCCCAGGGAGGAGUCAAGGGAGGCUGCAUCCUAUGGGGUCUCUCAGCCUCCCCCUCCUGGAAAAUUAACUUGCACACAGCUAUUGUGAACCAAGGUUAUAUCACCUCUCUCUCUGCCUCCCCCUACAGGCUGCAAAGAGGGACAGCGCCCUCCAGCGGAUGCCUGCCCAGGACAGCCGGCACUAGCAGACCCAUCUCCAGGCCGGAACAAGGGUGUCCUGGAGCUCGUGGUAUAAAUGUCCCUGAGGACAGUGGGAGAGCGGCACCCCGGAGCUUCUCUUGCCCCCAGCCCAAAUGCACCUCUACCAAGACUGCUCAGUCUCUCCAGGCACCAGAACCAUGGUGGGGAAGGGAGACAUGGGUUUUUUCAAUGCCUCCCACGUCCUUAUUUGAGCAAAAAGCACAGAGCCAUAUUCUUGAACAAUGUGGAAAAAUUAAAAAAGAAGAAGCUCCCAGGUGGCUGGAACAAGCCGUGGAGCUGAGGCCAGGCAAAUGGGACCCCAGGAAGAAGUUGAGGACAUGUCCCCAGCCUGGUGUCCAGGCAUUUUCAAGCACAGGAUGCAGAUUUGUCAGAGUCCAUCAACAUUCAGGCCAGUCUUUGGCAUGGCCACAGAGAAAUCCCCCAGGGGCACCACAAGCAUUCUGUGAACCCUGCAGCAAUGUCCAGACCGUCAAAGAAACUAAUUUUAAGAUAAUCUCCAUGGAAACCAUCUAUUCUGAUUUUUGCCAUGGUAACCGAUGA